UAGGCUCAAGGGCAACAAGACCCCAGUCAUGUAUCUUACUUUGUUGGAAGCGAAGGCGCUUCUUCCUAGCCUUCAAUUGAGUAGCUUUCAAGAGGUCAGCACCCUCGGCAGCAGCAAGGAGGUUGCGCAACUUAACCCUAUUUGUUCUUGCAGAAAUUCCCUUAGCAUUUAACAUUUGAGAACCAUUAGCAUCUGAACUAGCAGAUUGAAUAUGAACAACCUUAGUUCCCCUAACACGAGCCCUUUCGGCAGGACUUGCCCUUAACGACCAUUUACGCCACUCCCAACCAUUGAUCGAAGUUCGAGCACAGCCAACUGAUUGUGAACAAUGUUUUGCUAUCCGGGAUUUACCCUUCUGGUUCUUCUCUGGAGUAGCCACCUUUGUUGCAGCUUGGUUGCCAACACCAGUUGAUUGUUUCUGAAUUUUUCUUGAACGAGAUGCUGUCAGAUUAUCCUCUAGUUUUCUCUUUUUCAAAUCCGGUAAUUUGGCUGAUUUAGGAGUCUUCUUUGAACAAGAGGGUGGCUGCAUUUCUUGAGUACCCAAUUCCCUGUUCGCAACCUCAGACACCUUUCCAUCACCACUGGAGUCUGCGGCAACAAAAGUAGCCUUCAGUUUACUGUGGCCUGUAUUACUUCUCCCUCGGGAAACAGAUGCAACUUUCUCUGAGAUGGUGUUAAAAUUAAUAACCGAUGAUGGAGGAACAACUAAAGCCGCAUUAGUGAAUAACUCUUUGUGACAAUCUUUCAAUCCAAUUUCCUCAACAUGUAAAGCUGCAUUGUCACCCUUAUUGAUCUCCGUUUCCUCCCCUAAGGGAUCUUGCUUCGUUGACUUGUUAAUAGUUCUUUUUUUGAUGCCAAUGUUUCCAUCAACCAUUCCAUUAUCACUGGAGACCUCGGUGACAUUAGCAGCCUUCAGUUUUGUGCGGCUUGCAUUUCUUCUUCUCGCUUGGGAAUAAGACGCAACUUUCUCUGAGAUAAUGUCACAAUUAAUAACCGAUGAUGGAGGAACAACUAAAGCCGCAUUAGUGAAUAACUCUUUGUGACAAUCUUUCAAUCCAAUUUCCUCAACAUGUAAAGCUGCAUUGUCACCCUUAUUGAUCUCCGUUUCCUCCCCUAAGGGAUCUUGCUUCGUUGACUUGUUAAUAGUUCUUUUUUUGAUGCCAAUGUUUCCAUCAACCAUUCCAUUAUCACUGGAGACCUCGGUGACAUUAGCAGCCUUCAGUUUUGUGCGGCUUGCAUUUCUUCUUCUCGCUUGGGAAUAAGACGCAACUUUCUCUGAGAUAAUGUCAC
rnacentral:misc_RNA from 1 species